AGGGGGACUUGUGAUUUCCCUGGCUAUCACAUCAGGAAUCACCAUAGCUGUAAUUCUUGCUCUCAUACUGUUGGUGUUUGUCAGGUGGUAUACAAUGGCAAGGAUAAACACCACCACAAGACAGAGUGACCAUUCUAAUGUCCAUGAUGACACAUACACGGCUCUCAACCCCUGCACCAUAUCCUCUGAGUAUGACACACUGCAGAAUGUGAGGAGUCUGAGUCACACAUACAUGCCUCUCCAGAGAAGAGCUCAGGACUCAGGAGUGUAUGAGACUCUGCAGAGAAGAGAGACGCCCCCUACAGAGAUGGAGUUAGAGGAUCUCAGGAUGAAUUGACACCAACCAUGAUUGUCCAUGUUCUGAAAUGGAUGACUGAAACUGUAGUAGCAGCCUCAUGCUUCUGUUCUGUAGCUGUGGAAGUUGUGCUGUUUUAAAUGGCAUAUUUAGAUGUUGUCAGUCACUACAACUCUCUGCCUUGUCCUAGAAAAUCUGCUGUUAUGGGACAGUCAGUUACACCGUUUAUUUUUCUGAUGUACAAUGAAGCACAGUACUAUUUUCGUCUCCAAAAUACUGCAUUAUGUGCAGCAAAUUACUUUAUAGUGCAAUGGUCCAAAACUAUGUCCGGCCUCCUCAUUUUGGAUGGCAACCCAAAACAUGUCCGUGGUAUAUAGUACUGGGUACACACAGAAAUAUGACACAGUCAAACUAUUACCUCCAUAACUUCCCCUAUUCAUUUUCUAUGGCAAGUCUCAACAAUACACAUGUAAUACUUUUUCGUCCACUAUAGUUGUUUUGGUGCUGUUUCAAGUUUGCCAUUGAAAACGGAAUUUAAUGUAGGCCUAUCUGCAAACAAUGUAUUCUAAAGUAGGAGAAAGUUAAAAUGGUGGUCAUUUCAUAUAUAUGUAUAUUCAGUACUUCAUAAAACUCUCAUAGUUUGAGAAUUUUGGUUCACAAUUUUUCAAUAAAAUGUAC